UACGUAGGGGGCUAGCGUUGCUCGGAAUCACUGGGCGUAAAGGGCGCGUAGGCGGCCAUUCGAGUCGGAGGUGAAAGCCCAGGGCUCAACCCUGGAAUUGCCUUCGAUACUGUCUGGCUAGAGACCGGAAGAGGUAAGUGGAACUGCGAGUGUAGAGGUGAAAUUCGUAGAUAUUCGCAAGAACACCAGUGGCGAAGGCGGCUUACUGGUCCGGUUCUGACGCUGAGGCGCGAAAGCGUGGGGAGCAAACAGG
rnacentral:rRNA from 1 species